rnacentral:rRNA from 1 species
GCAAGUCGAGCGGUAACAUUUCAAAGCUUGCUUUGAAGCUGACGAGCGGCGGACGGGUGAGUAAUGCUUGGGAAUCUGCCUUAUGGUGGGGGACAAGAGUUGGAAACGACUGCUAAUACCGCAUAACGUCUACGGACCAAAGGGGGGGAUCUACGGACCGCUCGCCAUUUGAUUAGCCCGAGUUAGAUUAGCUAGUAGGUGAGGUAAAGGCUCACCUAGGCGACGAUCUCUAGCUGGUUUGAGAGGAUGAUC